GACGAACGCUGGCGGCGUGCUUAACACAUGCAAGUCGAACGGACAGGCCCUGCUUUUGUGGGGUGCUCGAGUGGCGAACGGGUGAGUAACACGUGAGUAACCUGCCCCUGACUUAGGGAUAACUUCAGGAAACUGGGGCUAAUACCGGAUAGGAGAUCCUGCUGCAUGGUGGGGGUUGGAAAGUUUCGGCGGUUUGGGAUGGACUCGCGGCUUAUCCGCUUGUUGGUGGGGUAGUGGUUUACCAAGGCUGUGACGGGUAGCCGGCCUGGGAGGGUGACCGGGCACAAUGGGACUGAGAGACGGCGCAGACGGGUACGGGAGGCAGUAGUGGGGAAUAUUGCACAAUGGGGGGGAGCCAGAUGUAGCAACGUCGCGUGCGGGAUGACGGCCUACGGGUGGUAAACCGCUUUGGCAUGAGACGAAGAGGGAGUGACGGUAAUGGGUAAAGAAGCACCGGCUAACUACGUG
rnacentral:rRNA from 1 species